CCUACGGGUGGCAGCAGUGGGGGAUAUUGCACAAUGGGGGAAACCCUGAUGCAGCGACGCCGCGUGAGUGAAGAAGUAUUUCGGUAUGUAAAGCUCUAUCAGCAGGGAAGAAAAUGACAGUACCUGACCAAGAAGCCCCGGCUACCUACGUGCCAGCAGCCGCGGUAAUACGUAGGGGGCAGGCGUUAUCCGGAUUUUCUGGGUGUAAAGGGGGCGUAGUCGGUAGGGGACGUCAGGAGUAAAGGUGCGAGGACCAACCCGGGGGAGGCGUUGGAACUGGUUAUCCUGAGUUACAGAGAGGCAUGCGGAAUGCGUGGUGUAGCGGUGAAAUGCAUAGAUAUCAGGAGGAACUCCGACGGCGAAGGCAGCAUACUGG
rnacentral:rRNA from 1 species